AUACGAAGGGGGCUAGCGUUGUUCGGAAUUACUGGGCGUAAAGCGCGCGUAGGCGGAUUGGUCAGUUAGGGGGGAAAUCCCAGGGCUUAACCCUGGAACUGCCUCUAAUACUGCCAGUCUUGAGUUCGGGAGAGGUGAGUGGAAUUCCUAGUGUAGAGGUGAAAUUCGUAGAUAUUAGGAAGAACACCAGUGGCGAAGGCGGCUCACUGGCCCGAUACUGACGCUGAGGCGCGAAAGCGUGGGGAGCAAACAGGAUUAGAUACCCUUGUAGUCC
rnacentral:rRNA from 1 species